rnacentral:rRNA from 1 species
UAGCAGAGGUCUCAAGCGUUGUUCGGAUUCAUUGGGCGUAAAGGGUGUGUAGGUGGCGCGCUAAGUCGGGUGUGAAAUUUCGGAGCUUAACUCCGAAACUGCAUUCGAUACUGGCGUGCUUGAGGACUGGAGAGGAGACUGGAAUUCAUGGUGUAGCAGUGAAAUGCGUAGAUAUCUGGAGGAACACCGGUGGCGAAGGCGGCAUCCUGGACCAAUUCUGACACUGGAGGAGCGAAAGCCAGGGGAGCAAACGGG